CAAAAAGUACAAAACAGGGAGAACUGAACGUGAAGAAAUCUGUGAGUAGUGCCGUUGGGCGCCGUCAGCCCGAUCGGAUUUACAAGGACAAACGGGCUGCUGCUGUUGACCUAAAUCUUUUCCCUGGAUAUAAAGAUGACCCAUUC
ensembl:ncRNA F47B10.10 ncRNA